UACGUAGGGGGCAAGCGUUGUCCGGAAUCAUUGGGCGUAAAGCGCGCGUAGGCGGCCCGGUAAGUCCGCUGUAAAAGUCCAGGGCUCAACCCUGGAAAGCCGGUGGAUACUGUCGGGCUAGAGUCCGGAAGAGGCGAGUGGAAUUCCUGGUGUAGCGGUGGAAUGCGCAGAUAUCAGGAGGAACACCGGUGGCGAAGGCGGUCAC
rnacentral:rRNA from 1 species